CCUACGGGUGGCAGCAGUGGGGGAUAUUGCACAAUGGGGGAAACCCUGAUGCAGCGACGCCGCGUGGGUGAAGAAGUAUUUCGGUAUGUAAAGCCCUAUCAGCAGGGAAGAAAGAAGACGGUACCUGACUAAGAAGCCCCGGCUAAAUACGUGCCAGCAGCCGCGGUAAUACGUAGGUGGCGAGCGUUAGCCGGAUGCACUGGGCGUAAAGGGAGCGUAGACGGCCGUGCAAGCCAGGAGUGAAAGCCCGGGGCGCAACCCCGGUACUGCACUUGGGACUGGGAGGCUGGAGUGCGGAAGGGGCGGGCGGAAUUCCAGGUGUAGCGGUGAAAUGCGUAGAUAUCAGGAGGAACACCAGCGGCGAAGGCGGCCUGCUGGACCGCGACUGACGUUGAGGCUCGAAAGCGUGGGGAGCGAACAGGAUUAGAUACCCUAGUAGUC
rnacentral:rRNA from 1 species